rnacentral:lncRNA from 1 species
GCGCUGCGCCGCCCGGCCUCACUCCGCGGCCCGCCAGGACCCGGCCCCGGUGAACGGGCUCGGGGUGCCGAGGUCCGGCUGCGGGGCCGGGAAGCCACCUCCACCUUGCCGUCUGUUACGACCCCCGAGGCGCAAGGCUGAGCCCCAUCUCGCUAUCCGGGUCCGGAGGGGUUCACCUUAGAAGGAUUUUUUGAAGCUCUUGGCGCUGGCUCUAAAAGAACCCACUUCCUUGCGGAUUUCAGGAGUCAAGAAUCCUUAAACGGAGCCAAUUUGCUUUGUAAAGCCAAUUGCCCAAGUGACUUGAGUUCGAAAGGAGAUACUUCCUGGACAACUGCUAUAAAAACAACAACAAAUACUUUUAUUAAUUCGGGGAGCCUGGUCACCAACUGGAUGCUCAGGGGAGAUGGAACCCUGAGCAGCCCAUGUACAUGGAAGAUCUUUAUUGCAGAGAUCUUCAAACCAGCUAGUGUGCAUUUACUCCUGCCUCUCCAUGCCUGAAGGAAGGAAUGAAGAGGUCUCUGCUGUCCAUCUGAGCCAGUGACUGGGCUGUCUCUACCAGGCCAGAAUUUGGGGCAGGCAAGAUUUUCAGCAUCCCUAAAAUCACACUAAGAAGAUAAACAUGGAAACAGCUUGGAGCUGCCCUACCCAUAGUGAGGUGGUACUGACUGGAAGACAGCUUAAACGAUUUGGAGAAAAGUGGAAUACAUUAAUCUCAGAAAACUCUACCACCUGUAGAAAGAGAGCUAAAAUGGAGACAACCACAGGCAGUCUAAGAUACGCUGAACUACUACAGAAAAUAAUGCAGCAUGAAGGAAUGCUGGAAGGUAUGGGGUCAGAGCAAGCUGAUGGAGGGUCCUUCAUUUCCAAGCCACGAGUACAGCAGGAUGUAAGGCUUAGUUCAUAAGAACAUCUCCUGAAAGACAAUCUCUAUAAAAACUGUUUCAAUAGAAAGAAUGCAAGAUGUAACUGUUUAAUAAUAGGACUGAUAUUUUAAAAAACAAAUGAACGUAAUAGAAGACUAGAUGGAUGUGCUUCUCAAAGUCCUCUCUGUGGGAGGCUUCAUCCUCACUCUAGAUGUGUUGCCUGUAGCAGCUGUUAUUGAUUACCCGCCCAUAGCCUAUCCAUACUUACUCAUCAUUCCUUUACCUACCAGUGGCAUCCUAUUGGAAGCACCUGCGACUUUCUUAGGGCUUUCUCUUGGCCAAGCAUUGGAAGGCCAGCAGUAUUGAAAAGUUAAUAGUCUUGGAAGCACUGGCCCUCAACUAAUGACAAAGAAAAAAUAUAAGAUAAAUUCCCCAGCUUCCUUGCCUCCUGAAUGGGUCAAGUCUGUGGUGUGUUCUACCCGUUUUUCAGAGGUCCCAUGUUUUAAACCCUAGCUGCUCAAGGCAAUUUCCUGAUCAUUGAUGUACUCUCUAUUGGCUAAUUUUUAGAUAAUAUGGAAUAUGCUCAAAAUAGGAUACUCAAAGAAAAAAUCAGAUGCCAAAAUUAUGUACACCGAAUGAGUUCAAUUCUGUAUAAGUGU